GACCCACAGCCCACCCCUGCACCAGUGGACACUGUGGGACGGCCCGGCCUCGGCUCUGCAUUUUCACUUCUCUUAGCUCUCAUCUCCUCCAUCACAGAGACAGCUCUUUCUGAGUAUCUUUCUGAUACUGUUCUUUAUCCCCCAGGACUGGCCCAGCCCAGGGUGGUGCAUACAGCAGACACUUAAUGUAACACAGUAGCAGCUUUUAAUUUCUCAGGCCAAUGAGAUACAGACAGUCACUGGUAUGGUAGUUUUUCAGUCAAGCAUCAAGGGAAGAACUUAUUAGUUUGAAUUACAAACAACAGAAGUAGAAAACUCCACAAGGAAAAAUCUCAGCUGGUGGAGAAGCUCAGGAGC
rnacentral:lncRNA from 1 species